rnacentral:rRNA from 1 species
UACAGAGGGUGCGAGCGUUGUUCGGAAUUAUUGGGCGUAAAGGGCGCGUAGGCGGUGCGGUAAGUCACCUGUGAAAUCUCCUGGCUCAACUGGGAGCUUGCAGGCGAAACUGCCGUGCUGGAGUGUGGGAGAGGUGCGUGGAAUUCCUGGUGUAGCGGUGAAAUGCGUAGAUAUCAGGAGGAACACCUGUGGCGAAAGCGGCGCACUGGACCAACAACUGACGCUGAGACACGAAAGCGUGGGUAGCAAACAGG